rfam:Canis lupus familiaris chromosome 25, whole genome shotgun sequence.
ACCUGGUUGGUUCAGUUGAUAGAGCAUGUGACUCUUGAUCUCAGGGUCAUGAGUUCAAGCCCCAUGUUGGGCA